rnacentral:rRNA from 1 species
AAAACAUUGCCUUCAGAAAAACUAUUGAAGGUAAAUCUGCCCAGUGAAGUUUUUCAACGGCCGCGGUAUUCCUGACCGUGCUAAGGUAGCACAAUAAUGUGCCUCUUAAUUAGAGGAUAGAAUGAAUGAAUUAACAAGAAGAAAGCUGUCUCUUUUUUGAAAAGUGAAAUUUAAUUUCAGGUGAAAAUUCCUGAAUCCUAAAUAUAGACAGAAAGACCCUAUAAGCUUAUAUUUUUAGGCGUAUUUAGCACAAUAAAUAUUUGAUUGGGGCGAUCAUAAGUAGUAAACACUUACCAAUUAUAAGGGCUAUAGCCCAAACUAAUUAUCCAAUAACACAUAAGUAAGUUACUAUAGGGAUAACAGGCUAAUACUUCCCGUGAGCACAAAUCAACGGAAGUGCUUAGCACCUCGAUGUUGGCUUAGGAUAACUAUUUUAUGCAGAAGUAAAAAAAGAGGGUUUGUUCAACCUUUAAUCUCCUACAUGAUCUGAG